GCCCAACCACCGCACGGCGCUGCCUCCUCGAUCCCAUCUCGACCUCCAGCCCCACCCCGCCUCACCGCGUGCCGUCCUCCGCUGCCGCUCGCCACCCGUCCCCGCAGCCGCCACCUCUUGCCCCGCCCCGCCCCGCGCCGCCUCACCGCGCACCGCCGCCGCGCGUUGCCCGCCCCCGCCGCCGCAGCGUGCCGCCGGCCGCGCUCGCAGCCGCCCCGCUCGGCGCACCCACCUCGCUCGAGGUUGGGCGAGCGGGAAGUAGAGUUCGGGACGGCGGAUCGGAAUCCAUCGACCGAUUCUCUCUUUCUCUCCUCUCCCUUGGAUUCCUGGAGGUGGUGGAUCAAUCUUGCCUUCGUGGUGGCGGCAGAACGAGCGCAGUGAGAUCAGAUUCCUCCUGGUGCUUGGGACAUUUUCGGCUGGAUUGAUUUACUAGCUACAUCCAAGCAGGCCACUGGAUUGAUUUCAUGAGGCUUACUAGCUACGUCCCAAUCAAGAUAGCUGACUUACUAGCUACGUCCCAAGCAGGCCAAUCCAAUAUGUUGAUCAAUUUGAUUGUUCUGACUGGAGGUCAGGAGUUCAGAAGGUGCGGCGUUCACACUAAAUCGUACCCGGAGUUCUAUAAUUAGGUAUGAUUACAACUAGGAAGCUACCCUUCCUGGAUAACUAUUUUAGUACCUGUUUUUAUUUACUGAUGAGAACUAAAUAAAUUGGCUACUGUCAUGUUUCUCCCUUAAAAAAAGAUUCUGGUAGAUGUGCUUGACAAUAAUAAUGGUAAUACCUAAAGGAGUUCUCUUGCUCUAAGUUAGCCCCUAUAUAUUCUUAGCUACCAUGUACUUGCGUUACUGGUUUGUGUUAAGGAUUCCCCUACUGUUGCCAAGGCAUCUGCAGAAUUUUGUUAUAGUACUAGCGGAACAGAAAAAGAGAUCGAUGGCAUUUUUGAGCAGUUGAAAUUUCUAGUGGCAAAACUGAGUAGUGGGACAUAACCGGUGGCAUAACUAAUAAAAACCCCCCAAAAAAAUCAAUCGGCCAUUAAUUUACUGGACUCUAUUUCAGUCUAAUCAGUGGAGACUUAGAGAGUGGAAAAAAUGUUUAAAAAACCUAAUAUAAAAAUAUGAAAUAUUUAGUUAUUCUCUAUAUCCGAGAAAACAAUAAAGAACUUUGUGUUAGGCAGUGCACUGCGGGAGUCUUUCCCACAGGUCCACCUUCUUUACCUUUCCGUUCUUUGAACUGGAUCAGUUCUGAUAUUCUAACAUUGUUGGAAAAUCAUUAUCUUCUGUAAAGCCACAUUUCAUUUUAUGAUUUUUAGCAGAAGCUCACAUCGAGGUCUUGGUGUGGGGCUGCUGGGGAAGGGAAUGUCCUUCUACUUAGUGAAGGUCGUUGUUGCGGAGGCUGAUUUUACCUUCUUUCAAGUGUUCUAUUCUAUUUAGUGCAAUUGGUUCGAGUUAAACUAGCAUCCGCCGUACAAAUAUUUGUGGGACAUAUUCAGUUAAAUUUACCAUUUUCUGUUCUGUUUUCAUUACCCAGCGCUAAAAUGUAGAUGUUAUGAUGACCAAUGACCAUAAACUAUACAUGAUUGAGCAAAGAAUCACUCUGGUGACCCAGAGAUACAUGAAGCUUUAAAGAAGGGAGAAGAUGCUGGGCUUGCCUUGGUUAGCAGCAAUUAUCAUUUCAUUUUUGUGUUUAUCAGCAUAAGCUAAUAUCUGGAAGUAGGGCUUCUUUACUCUGUACUCCUGCAAUUUUUAAUGUUCCUGGUGUCACUUUCCCCAGUACUCUUCUAUAGCUAUGUUUUGUGCUAAAAAGUAAAAAAUUCAAACGUUUUGCAGUCACUACCAGCAAGUAAUAGCACUGACUAUUAUUUUAAAUAAAAUAUGAAAUCAAGCUUUCAGCUGCAUCUUUUAGCAUCCUAGCGCACUCAUCAACUUCAGAGUUACCAUUGGGUCACUUUUCUCAAGAAAUCUGGAAAGAAGCGAGGAUUCUCAAGUAAGAUAAGUCUGCUUACAAAAAUUUGCCUACUGGAAAGUAGAUAGAGACUCAUGAAGUAAGAAGACAUGCCUACAUAUUAUACAUAGCAGGCUUCUGACUUCUCUGAUUCUGCAAGCCUUGAGGCUGUGAAACAUCUAUGCUAGGUUGCCACACUUCUGCCACCUUCAUUUGAUGAGGUUCAGCGUUCACUGCUAUGAAAGAAGAAGGCAGAUAUUUUCCUUGUGGAAUUGCCAGUAGAAUGGCAGUGAGAACAAGUAAAAAUCUGCAACAGGCAAUACAUUAUUUUGAAGCUACAUGGAAAGCAAAGUAAGCACAUGGAUCCCUCAUUUGAGAGUGGGGGUUAAACUUCCCUGGACUUCUCCCUUAAUUCUUACUGCAGUCUUUUUAUUCACAUUUCCUAUUGUGUAGUUGGUGACAAUGAGGAAUUGUUAUCCACUUGAGAAAAUAAAGAUUAAAUCGAUGAUGCUCUCAAAAGUAAAAUGACUUUCUGAGCUGAAUAGAGACAUUGUGAGCAUCAAUAUAGAACUUAUAAACCUUUUUCCUUGUUUGUUAUAAUGAUAUUUUCAUUUUCCUAUGUAUAUUAAACUUGAGAAUAUUAUUCUGCAUUACUUCAACCGUUACUUUUGAUGUGUUUGCAGUAUGACUAUGGUUCCCACUCAAAGUAGAGGACGAACAAACUUUUUUGAAGUAGGGGUCAAAAACUAAAAAUCCA